AUGCAUGUCUAAGUACAUACUUUCACCUAGUGAAACUGCGAAUGGCUCAUUAAAUCAUUUAUGGUUCCUUAGAUCGUACAAUCCUACUUGGAUAACUGUGGCAAUUCUAGAGCUAAUACAUGCAACGCAGCUCCGACCUCGCGGGAAGAGCGCUUUUAUUAGUCCAAAACCGACCCGGCCGCAAGGCUGGUUCUCCGCUGGUGAAUCUGAAUAACUUUCAGCCGAUCGCACGGCCCCGCGCCGGCGACGUAUCUUUCAAAUGUCUGCCCUAUCAACUUUCGAUGGUACGCGANNUGCCUACCAUGGUCGUAACGGGUAACGGGGACUCAGGGUUCGAUUCCGGAGAGGGAGCAUGAGAAACGGCUUCCACCUCCAAGGAAGGCAGCAGGCGCGCAAAUUACCCACUCCCGACACGGGGAGGUAGUGACGAAAAAAAANUUUACGGGACUCCUUCGAGGCCCCGUAAUUGGAAUGAGUACACUCCAAACCCUUUAACGAGGAUCUAUUGGAGGGCAAGUCUGGUGCCAGCAGCCGCGGUAAUUCCAGCUCCAAUAGCGUAUAUUAAAGUUGUUGCAGUUAAAAAGCUCGUAGUUGGAUCUCGGGCCCAGGCGGGCGGUCCGCCUCGCGGUGGCCACUGCCCGUCCUGACCUAGCCCGCUGG
rnacentral:rRNA from 1 species